rnacentral:pre_miRNA from 1 species
UCUUAUGCAGGAGCAAAGAAAGUAGUUUCUUCAGAUGGAAUCUACCCUUUGUGAAAAUGCUGUGAA